rnacentral:rRNA from 1 species
UACGGGGGGAGCAAGCGUUGUUCGGAUUUACUGGGCGUAAAGGGCGCGUAGGCGGUCGUUCAAGUCGCGUGUGAAAGCCCCCGGCUCAACUGGGGAGGGUCACGCGAUACUGAUCGACUCGAAGGCAGGAGAGGGUAGUGGAAUUCCCGGUGUAGUGGUGAAAUGCGUAGAUAUCGGGAGGAACACCAGUGGCGAAGGCGACUACCUGGCCUGUUCUUGACGCUGAGGCGCGAAAGCUAGGGGAGCAAACGGGG